UCAAAGUUUAAUCCUUAAGCCCCCAAAGCUUUUAUUCUUCUUAAACUAUACUUUG
rnacentral:tRNA from 1 species